GACAGAGGUGCCGAGCGUUAGGCGGAAUCACUGGGCUUAAAGCGUGUGUAGGCGGGUCCGUAAGGACCUUGUGAAAUCCCACGGCUCAACCGUGGAACUGCUUGGUAUACUGCUCGUCUUGAGCCAAUCAGGGGCGAGCGGAACAGACGGUGGAGCGGUGAAAUGCGUAGAUAUCUGGAAGAACACCAAAGGCGAAGGCAGUGUCCUGGGUGGUCGCUGACGCUGAGAGGCGAAAGCCAGGGGAGCGAACGGG
rnacentral:rRNA from 1 species